UACAGAGGGUGCGAGCGUUAAUCGGAAUUACUGGGCGUAAAGGGUGCGUAGGUGGUUAAAUAAGUCAGAUGUGAAAUUCCUGAGCUCAACUUGGGGACUGCGUCUGAUACUGUUUGACUAGAGUAUUGUAGAGGGAGGUGGAAUUUCCGGUGUAGCGGUGAAAUGCGUAGAUAUCGGGAGGAACACCGGUGGCGAAGGCGGAUCUCUGGGCCUGUCCUGACGCUCAGGCGCGAAAGCUAGGGGAGCGAACAGG
rnacentral:rRNA from 1 species